AGGGCAACCUGAGUAGAAGCGGCGCACGGGUGCGUAACACGUGGGUAAUCUGCCUCAAAGUUUGGGAUAACCUUCCGAAAGGUUGGCUAAUACCGGAUAAGCUCACGAGGUCUUCGGACUUUGUGGGAAAAGGUGGCCUCUAUUUAUAAGCCAUCACUUUGAGAUGAGCCCGCGGCCCAUCAGCUAGUUGGCGGGGUAACGGCCCACCAAGGCUACGACGGGUAGCUGGUCUGAGAGGACGAUCAGCCACACUGGAACUGAGACACGGUCCAGACUCCUACGGGAGGCAGCAGUGGGGAAUUUUGCACAAUGGGCGAAAGCCUGAUGCAGCAACGCCGCGUGUGUGAUGAAGGUCUUCGGAUCGUAAAGCACUUUCGACCGGGACGAACAACCUCUGGCUAACAGUCAGGGGCCUGACGGUACCGGGAGAAGAAGCACCGGCUAACUCUGUGCCAGCAGCCGCGGUAAUACAGAGGGUGCAAGCGUUGUUCGGAAUUAUUGGGCGUAAAGCGCGUGUAGGCGGCUUGUUAAGUCGGGUGUGAAAGCCCUCAGCUCAACUGAGGAAGGGCGCCCGAAACUGGCGAGCUUGAGUGUCGGAGAGGAUGGCGGAAUACCCCAAGUAGAGGUGAAAUUCGUAGAUAUGGGGUGGAACACCGGUGGCGAAGGCGGCCAUCUGGACGACAACUGACGCUGAGACGCGAAAGCGUGGGGAGCAAACAGGAUUAGAUACCCUGGUAGUCCACGCCGUAAACGAUGAGAACUAGGUGUCGUGGGUGUUGACCCCUGCGGUGCCGUAGCUAACGCAUUAAGUUCUCCGCCUGGAAGACGUGC
rnacentral:rRNA from 1 species